GCAGGAGGCGGGCGGGGGCGGGGGCGCGCGCUCCCGGCCUCGCCCGGCCCCUCUGCGUGGCCCCCCGCCCCCUGCGCCGCCGCUGCCAACCCGGAAGGAGCCCGGAGGGGCCCGGGCGGCCAGGGCGCCCCCGCCAGGAGGCCCGCCAGGUGUCCACCUGAGCCCCACGCCCUGCGCCGCGGGGCCCUUUUGGGGGCGGGGUGCCAGCUCCGAGGUGUCCUCCCACGGGCUGUAGACUGGGAAACUGAGGCCCGGGCCACGGUCCCUGACGCAGCCGGGACCCGAACCCACCUCACCUGAGCGAAUGAUAUCGGGGACUCAUCCUUUUUCGACACCUUUGCGGGAUCCAGCCCUCCAAGGAAAGCUUCCUGAGCAGUGCGCGCCACGUGUACUGGGCACCUCACCGCGGCCACUUCACAUCCUAUCUCAGGUGGAGAAACUGAGCCACAGAGAGGAGCUGUCAUUUACCUAAAGCACCGUGGCAGGGGUUUGGCAGAGCCAGGAUUUGUACCCAGAUCGCCUGACUUCGGAGAGUAUCAGCUCUUAACCACAGCACUUUGGUCUAUGCCUUGAUUUCACCAUAUGUAACAAGCAGCUGUGCCACUUUGCAUUCCCACCAGCAGCACGCAAGCAUUCGAAUUUCUCCACACGCUCGCCAACAAGAUGGGGUCUCCCUAUGCUUCCCAGGCUGGUCUCGAACUCCUGGACUCAAGCAAUCCUCCUGUCUCGACCUCCCAAAGUGCUGGGAUUACAGGCGUGAGCCGCCUCACCUGGCCUAUAGAAUUUCAUACAAAUGAAAUCAUACUGGUCUCGCUCAUCACCAGGCUGGAGUACAGUGACAUGAUCAUGGCUCACUGCAGCCUCAACCUCCCGGGUUCAGGCUAUCCUCCCACCUCAGCCUCCCAGGACCACAGGCGUGUGCCACCACGCCCAGCUAAUUUUUUGUAGAGAUGGGGUUAUGCCAUGUUGCCCAGGCUGGUCUCGAGCUGCUGGGCACAAGCAAUCUACCCAUCUCAGUCUCCCAAAGUGCUGGGAUUAUAGUCGUGAGCCACUAUGCCCAGCCAACAGUGUCUUUCAAAGAGCAGAGAGAGGUUAAUUUUGAUGAUGUCCAGUUUGCACCUUUGUUGAAAAUUGACCAUAUAUCUGUGAGUCUGUUUCUAGACUCUUUGUUCUGCUUUAUUAAACUACUUGUCUAUUUGUACACCAAUGCCACACUGUCUUCAUUGCUGUGCCUUUGUAAUAAGUUUUAAAGUUAGGUCAUUUAAGUCCUUUAAUUUUGUUCCUCUUUUUCAAAGUUGUUUUGACUAUUCUAAGCUUUUGCAUUUCCAAUACAUUUUGUAAUCAGCUUGUAAAUUUCUACCAAAAAAGCCUGCUGAGACUUUGACUGAAAUUAUGUUGAGUUUGUAGAUUAAUUUGGGAAGAAUUGACAUAUUGACAGUAUUGAGUCUCUCAACCCAUGAACAUGGUAUACCUCUCCAUUUAUUUAGACCUUUAGAGCUUUUUCUCAGCAACAUUUUGUAGCUUUUUUUUUUUUUUUUUUUUU